rnacentral:rRNA from 1 species
GCUCAGAAACUUAAAGGAUUGACGGGGGCCCGCACAAGCGGUGGAGCAUGUGGUUUAAUUCGAUGAUACGCGAGGAACCUUACCUGGGCUCAAAUGUAUGUUGACGUAUUCUGAAAGGGAUACUUCUUCGGACAAUAUACAAGGUGCUGCAUGGUUGUCGUCAGCUCGUGCCGUGAGGUGUCGGGUUAAGUCCCAUAACGAGCGCAACCCCUAUCAUUAGUUGCCAUCAGGUCAAGCUGGGGACUCUAAUGAAACUGCCUACGCAAGUAGUGAGGAAGGUGGGGAUGACGUCAAAUCAGCACGGCCCUUACGUCCAGGGCUACACACGUGCUACAAUGGCCGGUACAAAGGGCAGCUACCUGGUGACAGGAUGCUAAUCUCAAAAGCCGGUCUCAGUUCGGAUCGGAGUCUGCAACCCGAUUCCGUGAAGCUGGAAUCGCUAGUAAUCGCGCAUCAGCCAUGGCGCGGUGAAUACGUUCCCGGGCCUU